UGCAGUCGAACGGUAACAGGGAGCUUGCUCCGCUGACGAGUGGCGAACGGGUGAGUAAUAUAUCGGAACGUACCCAAGAGUGGGGGAUAACGUAGCGAAAGUUACGCUAAUACCGCAUACGAUCUAUGGAUGAAAGCAGGGGACCUUCGGGCCUUGUGCUCCUGGAGCGGCCGAUAUCUGAUUAGCUAGUUGGUGAGGUAAAGGCUCACCAAGGCGACGAUCAGUAGCUGGUCUGAGAGGACGACCAGCCACACUGGAACUGAGACACGGUCCAGACUCCUACGGGAGGCAGCAGUGGGGAAUUUUGGACAAUGGGCGCAAGCCUGAUCCAGCAAUGCCGCGUGAGUGAAGAAGGCCUUCGGGUUGUAAAGCUCUUUUGUCAGGGAAGAAACGGCUGNGGCUAAUAUCCNUUGCUAAUGACGGUACCUGAAGAAUAAGCACCGGCUAACUACGUGCCAGCAGCCGCGGUAAUACGUAGGGUGCAAGCGUUAAUCGGAAUUACUGGGCGUAAAGCGUGCGCAGGCGGUUUUGUAAGUCUGUCGUGAAAUCCCCGGGCUCAACCUGGGAAUUGCGAUGGAGACUGCAAGGCUAGAAUCUGGCAGAGGGGGGUAGAAUUCCACGUGUAGCAGUGAAAUGCGU
rnacentral:rRNA from 1 species